UACAGAGGUCUCAAGCGUUGUUCGGAUUCAUUGGGCGUAAAGCGCGCGCAGGCGGUCCUUUAAGUCUGAUGUGAAAGCCCACGGCUUAACCGUGGAGGGUCAUUGGAAACUGGGGGACUUGAGUACAGAAGAGGAGAGUGGAAUUCCACGUGUAGCGGUGAAAUGCGUAGAGAUGUGGAGGAACACCAGUGGCGAAGGCGACUCUCUGGUCUGUAACUGACGCUGAGGCGCGAAAGCGUGGGUAGCGAACAGG
rnacentral:rRNA from 1 species